CAGCCGCCACGGGAAUACGGAGGGUGCAAGCGUUAAUCGGAAUUACUGGGCGUAAAGCGCACGCAGGCGGUCUGACAAGUCAGAUGUGAAAUCCCCGGGCUUAACCUGGGAACUGCAUUUGAAACUGUCAGGCUGGAGUCUUGUAGAGGGGGGUGGAAUUCCAGGUGUAGCGGUGAAAUGCGUAGAGAUCUGGAGGAAUACCGGUGGCGAAGGCGGCCCCCUGGACAAAGACUGACGCUCAGGUGCGAAAGCGUGGGGAGCAAACAGGAUUAGAUACCCCGGUAGUCCCUGUCUCUUAUAC
rnacentral:rRNA from 1 species